AAAAAAUUACCGAUCAGCUUAAAAGUAGCGAUAUUUGGAGUGGUAAUGUUUUAUAUGAAGGACUAUUUAGUUUCUGAAAGAAGAUCAAAACUAUGGUGCAAAGAGAAAAUGGAAAUGUGGAAUCCCAGGCGUCCACUUCAUUGACAAUUAAAGAAACAACUGAUAAAGACAACAGAUUAGAAACACAAAGUAACUUAUUUUAGGGUCGUUGUUCGCUAGCAAUGCCAGCGCUGUAUAAACAACUUGACAACGUCGCGUACCUUGUCCAAUUUGACAGUUUGAAAUUGCCGCACAAACGACAAUUUAACUUUUCAGUUUUUUUCUGUACGUAAUAAGGCAAUAAUUGCAAAAGUAAGCAUAUAUGGCAGUUUAUUAUCCCGUUCGUAUUUAUUGGCCGCGUUUACUUUUGACGUAGAUGUCCGCAAAAAAGGAUAAGCGUGUCAGAGGGGGCAAUUUUUCAGAGGAGGAUAAGACGUUCCUCGUACAAUUUGUGGUAGACAAUGCCGAUAUUUGGGAAUCGAAAGCGAGCGAUCCGCGGAUUAACAUAAAAAAACAGCAACUGUGGAAGGCAUUGGCCGAAAAAUUCAGGGCACGGGGGCAGUAUAGAGAGCCAGCAAAAUUGCAGAUGCUGUACUUUCGUUUAAAAUAGCUUGCAAAAACAACAAUUGCAGCCUACCAAAGGUCACAACAUCAAACAAGUGGCGGUCCUUCCACUCCCGAAGAUCCAACAGACUUUUGGACUGGAUCAUUGCAGAUAUAUCUGCAGUAGAUUUUACUGCAGAUGUGUCUGCAUAUGAUUCCGAGGGGAAGACCGCCACUGAAGUUGUCAGAGCUGAGAUAGCCAAUGCCCCCGAAGAAUGUACGGGGCCAAUAGAUCCCAUAGCGGGAGAAAUUGAAAUAACACAAACUGUUCCCGAACCGUUGCAUGCAGAAACACCUUCCUUGUCGCCGUCUGCAACACCAGUGAGGCCAGUUGCGCCUACCACCCAUAAACGAAACAAACGCAAAAAGCCUAUGAGUGAAUUUGAAGAGAGCAUGCUCAAGUUGCAUGAGCGACAUAUAGAACAAAAAAUUGAAAUGGAAAGAGACAUUUAUUCCAAAGAAUUGGAACUUUUAAAUUUAAAAAUUAAAGCCAAAGCGUGGGCACCGGCAAAGGAGAAGACGAAAUUGUAUCGGCCCUUUUCCUGUAAGAUCGUCAAACUUUCGUAGUGAUUUUCCGUGCUAACACAUCUUCAAAACCACAUUGGAAAUAGUAUCCGGCACUCCGGCAGCAGAGCAAGUGCCUGUGACAACAAACCGGCUGCACAAUUCCCGCUAUUUUUGCCGAUUAGGCAUACUUUCACAUUCAAGCAGAUAACCAAUCGAGUGAAAUUCAAGCCAUAUCAACACACCGGGGGACCUAUAAAAUGAAUCGUCUAUCUUUCGGUAUCAAAACAGCCCAAUCAGAGUUUAACCGGAUCAUCGAUCAAAUUUUGCGGAAUAUACCAAAAACAGAGAAGUAUUUUGACGACAUAUUAGUCCACGGUUCAACCAGAGAGGAGUGACAAAUGAACUUGAUCACCUGUUUUACCCAGCUGGGAAAAUAUGAUCUACAUUUGAAUCACCAUGCCUCAACAAUUACAGCGCCAUUGCGACAUCUGUUGAAAGACAAUGUUGUUUUCAAAUGGACACCAGAAUGCGAAACGGCGUUGGUGAAGUUAAAACAAGAAAUCGUGAGUGAUCGAGUCGUAAUGCCAUUCAAUCCAGGUUCAACUCGCUUGUGACGCUAGUCCCACAGGUAUCUCAGCCGUUUUGUCAUACAUAAUAGACGAUCAAGAAAGACCAAUUGCUUUCGCAUCUCGUUCAUUAACCCUUACGCUCCACAAUCUCACAAUUGUGUCUAAUAUUUGCUAUAUAUAAGGGUUAUAAUGUGGUUAUAAAUUGGUAAAUCCCGCAUCGCAUGAUUGUGCUAGUUCGGAGCUAUGCAAUGGUAUCCAAUUUCUUGGAAAUUUAUUGUUUUGAAUAGUCACAAGACGGUCACUUUUAAACUCACAACUGUGUUUUCGCUUCUGCCAUGGCCGCCAGAAGUAAGAUCAAAAUAAAUUAUUAACUUAGAAAACCUGAGUGAUGAUCCAGAUGCCAUAUUAAAUCUUCUAGAUGAAAUUGAUUCUGAUUUAGAGCUAGGUGAUGAUGAUUCUGAUUGGGAACAUGAACCAGAAAUAAACAAUUCUUCCGACUCUAGCACAGCUUCAGAUACUGAUGACGAUAACCUUUCAAAUCCAAGCGGUGUAGAACCUAUUGCACAAGCGUCCUGGCAAAGAAGAUAUUUCACUUCAAAGGAAAUUCCUCAUUAAUCUGUUCUGGCUGCCACCGAAGUUUUAACUCCAUGGGCUUACUUUAGCAAAUACUUGGGAGAAGAUUUCUUAGAAUUGGCGGCAAAUAAAACCGGACAAUACUAUUUACAGAAAACAGGUGUAGAAAUGAAGCCUUCUGUAACAUCAGAAGAAAUAAAAUAAUUCUUUGGAAUUCAUGCUGUCAUAGGAUGUAUUAAAUAUCCAAGAAUACACAUAUAUUGG